GUACAUACAUGGUAGAGGGGAUACUACGACCAUAAAGCUUGUCUUCCCACUCUGAGGCUCACCCCACUGUACUCUCGACCUGCUACCUCCGUAAUUUCCCCAAACUCAGGCGUUGUAACUACAUAACUGGCGGAGGCAGGGACUGUGUUCACACCUUCCCUU